UUGACUUCUUUGGAGGUGAAGUCCAGGUAUCUGUUGCUGACCCACUGAACCUCAAACCAGUCCUUGAAAUUGUUGUUUCCACAACAGCGGAACUGCAUCUGCAGACGAUCAAUGGUCUCUUUCUGGAAACAGCGGCCAGCCCAGCUUAACUAACCCUACCUUCAGGGAUUCCUCCAGGCGUCCCUGCAGGGCGUAGGCUAGGACCACAACAGCGAUAAGAAGACAACAGAUGACUGCAGCCACAGCAAACCAAACCAGCAGGAAGAUCUUCCAACGCGGGAAGCGGGUUGGAUCCAAGGAGUCCAGACACACACGGCCAGCAACCCAGUUGGUGCCAAUUGAGACCAGACCCACCAUCAUCAGGAUGUUGGGCACCACAUGGAUCUCUGUGUUGUCCAUCACCUCAAAAAAAGAAGGAGCACGGACAGCAUUUAAAAAGGACACAAAGACAGACGCUAACUGCAGAUCUACGGAGCAGCUCCAUCUUAAGGUAAACACCCAGACAAAAAAUGAAUGCACCGCACGUCAGUGCCAGCCAUGACAGCAGCCACAGGCCCUGGGCCAGACGCAACCGCCUCUGCUGGUUGAACUUCAUCUUCAGCAGCAUCUUCACCAGCUGUCGACGAUGCACCACUAAAAACAGUGGUUCCUUUCCAGCUGUGCCCAAAUGUGACGCCCCCCUAAACCACCCUACCCAUGGUAGGCAGAAUAAAAGACUGUCCUAAGUGGAGAGUUUGGAGCUGUAAUCUCCCAACACUGUCUAUCGGAUCCUAUUAAAUUCCAGGGGCCAAUGGGAAAUCAGGCCAGUGUCUGAUCAGCAAACUCAUUCUGAUAGACACGUAGUCACCUAUGGGAGACACAAGCGACUUUGUAUGUAUGCUGACGUGAUGUGCAAGGGACUGAUAGUCCCUCUAGUGGCAGAAAUGAGAAGGUUGAUCAGACUGACAUACACGUUAGUACAUUCUUUUUACAACACUACAUUUUGAGAAGCCAAAACAUCA